rnacentral:pre_miRNA from 1 species
UGUGUACUCCCUCCGUCCGAAAAUACUUGUCCUAAAAAUAGAUGUAUCUAGACUUAUUUUAGUUAUAGAUACAUUCAUUUUGUACAUUUCUAGGACAAGUAUUUCCGGAGGGAGUAUUUU